rnacentral:rRNA from 1 species
AAUACAUUUUUACAAUACUGUGAACAAACCAGAGUGUAUAAAACAUGUAAUAUAUUAUAUAUUUAGCAAUGGAAUGUUUUAUCAUGGAAUAUUGCUUUUUAAUAUAAUAUCGAUGGAGAUAGUUGGAGUUAAGAGUACUGAUAGGCGAGCGGUGAAAUGCAUUGACCCUAUUAAGACUAACAAAAGCGAAAGCACUUAACUAGAUUAUUCUCUUUGUAUUAUUACAAUGAAGAGCGAAGGUUGGGGGAACAAAGAGGAUCAGAUACCCUCGUAGUCCUAUUUUUACAUCAAACUAUGGGAUUUCAAUUACUACUCUCCAKAAUAAACUAUGUAUCGGAUAUAAUUGAGUACUUAAUUGUUUACUCUUAUAUUUAAUAUUAUUAUUUUUAUUAUUGAUUAUAUGUACUUUGAGCUCAUAUAAUUAUAUAGGUGAGAUGUAAGCAUUAUAGGUGAAUAAUAUAUAAGUAAUAUUAUAUUAUUAUGAUCCUUAUUUAUAAAAAUGUAAUGUGAUG